rnacentral:sRNA from 2 species
AAUAAUUUAUCGCUGAAUUAUGGCAGUUUGACUGCUAUAAGCGGGGGAACCAUUCAAAUGGGGUGAAUCCUGUGUUAUCAGGUAGGGUUAGUCUCUUACAACCCGAAUCCGGCAGCUAACUUCGUAAGCGUUGGGGAGAAAGUGA